CUCUUUUUAAAUCAUCACCGCCAAAGUGCUGUGGGAUUGAUGGUGCCUUAGACACCAGCUGAUCCUAACAGGACAACCAACUCCCUCUAGCCCAAGGAAAUCUACCUCCAAUGACCACAAACAUAGAAACAAAUAAACAGUAGGAUUCCUGAAAGGAAAUUGGAGACAUGCAGAUUUAACUCCUUCCAUAACCAGAAAUGGAAUAAAGAAAUGCAUUCCCUUUUAGAGAAACAAUUUGUUCCAGUAAUGCUGUACAUUGCAAGCAGAAGUCUUUCUACUGUAAAUGAUUCUUGUCCAGGUUUGAUGUUUUUCUGCUACAGGAUGGACUCCACAGUAGGGAGAAGUGGAACAUGAGGCUUAAUGACUGCUAUGUGCUGGCUCAAGCUGUCAAUUGAGAAUUAAACUCAGUGUAAACAAGAAUUUAAAAUAUGAAAAGGUUAACAAGGCUCCUUUUGCUUCUGCAACCUGAGCAUUAUCUGGAUCUGGCAUUAUUCUACAUUAGUAUUUUACACACAUUCCUCACAAUUUGGAAAUUAAGAAGGAAGGUGGAAGGAAGAUGCUGAAGUGUUGGGCAUGCAGGUUUGGAGAGUCUGUCCAAGCAGACUACACAGAAAGCAGGCUACAUCAAAGAGUGAGAUGACCUCAGCGCAAUACCAGGAAUGAAAAGAAUUCCUGAAUUCAGAGCUCAGCCGCAGGGGAUGGAGGGGAGAAAAGUGAACCAGAAGUAUAUACAGUGUUCAAGAUGAGGACACGCUGUGGAGUUACAGAGAGGCCUAAUGAUAUUUUUUGUUUCGAGCUGACAUUUUCAUAGAACUGUUUCUCUGCAGUUAUCCACUAUUUAUAACUUCAAGAUCUCAUUCCUGAGUGUCAGGCUGUGUAUGUUAAGUUAGGAUUUAUAUAUAAAUAAAUCUGAGGUUAUU